rnacentral:lncRNA from 1 species
UGUUUUUCUUAAUAUGCACAUGGACCUACUAGCCCUUCUCUCUAUUUUAUAAGACCUGUAUCUAUACUAUAUUGUAGAUGAUAGAUCUUGUUACUUAGACGUACAGAACCGUUACUGAAUUUACAGUUACAGAGAAUUCUACUUGAGAUGCAAAAAGGCCAACAACAUUCGCUGAAGCUUGAACAGCCGUCAGUUCAGAACAUUGUAUCUCAACUUUUUUUUACCUAAUGUAUGCAGUGCUGUUACCUCUUCUACUCUACUACGUUUAAGUGAAGUUUUACUUACAGAUAAUCUUGCCAUAUUGCAACAUGGACGCAUGUUAAAUGUGUCUUCUUGUUUCUUUCUUUACACUGUUUAGCAGUCAGUCAGAACUUUGAACCCAAUACCAAUGGGGUGGCAGGUAGCCUAGUGGUUAGAGCGUUGGGCCAGUAACCAAAAGGUUGCUAGAUUGAAUCCCUGAGCUGACAAGGUAAAAAUCUGUCGUUCUGCCCCUGAACAAGGCAGUUAAACCAAUGUUCCCAGUCAGUCAUUGUAAAUAAGAAUUUGUUCUUAACUGACUUGCCUAGUUAAAUAAAAAUAAACCAAAAGAGACAACUCACACCUCAGCAUUGUGAUAAUGGUAAAUGCUUUGCCCAUUACUUUGAGGCUAUUCUCAUUGACAAACAUUUAAGGAGACAGCGUGAUGAGAUUUAAAUUUACACAAUAUGUACAGUACCAGUAAGUAUGUCCAAACUUUUGACUGGUACUGUAUAUUCACUUUCUGGAUCUGCAGCUCCAAAUUUACCGUAAAAAUCAGUAUCACAGUUAUCACUAACCUUGUAACAUUGCAUACUGUUCGACAAUGCAAACAACUUUUCCUCUAAAACAUAUUAACUACACUUGAAUAAUGCAACGAUUCACAAGUAUAUAGACAAUUAAGGGGUUUAUUUUCAUGUUCGUACACGCAUUAAAUGUAGCUUGCAAGACACUACACAGAUAGCAUGUUAGCAUAUCAAACAUGAACAAUUCCCCUCUCAUUCGAAUAUGAAAGUACAGUUUCAGCACAUUAAAGUUACCUUAGAACAAACCAGGCUUCAUUUGAUCAGUAUCAUGGAAGUCAUUAUAUGAGGUCAAUGCAAAAUUGCGACUGAAAACGUUUUUCCUGGUGAGUUGAUCAGCUUCAUGCUGCAUGCUUCU